CCUACGGGAGGCAGCAGUGAGGAAUCUUGGUCAAUGGACGAGAGUCUGAACCAGCCAAGUAGCGUGAAGGAUGACUGCCCUCUGGGUUGUAAACUUCUUUUAUAUGGGAAUAAAAUGUUCCACGUGUGGGAUUUUGUAUGUACCAUAUGAAUACGGAUCGGCUAACUCCGUGACAGCAGCCGCGGUAAUACGGAGGAUCCGAGCGUUAUCCGGAUUGAUUGGGUGUAAAGGGAGCGUAGGUGGAUUGUUAAGUCAGUUGUGAAAGUUUGCGGCUCAACCGGAAAAGUGCAGUUGAAACUGGCAGACUUGAGUACAGUAGAGGUGGGCGGAAUUCGAGGUGUAGCGGUGAAAUGCUUAGAUAUCACGAAGAACUCCGAUUGCGAAGGCAGCUCACUGGACUGCAACUGACACUGAGGCUCGAAAGUGUGGGUAUCAAACAGGAUUAGAUACCCUAGUAGUC
rnacentral:rRNA from 1 species